rnacentral:lncRNA from 1 species
GGGAAAUGGAAACCUGGAGCCAACCACCACGAACUGAAACUAGGAACCACAGUCAGCCCUUCCUUCCUUAAAUUGUGUAUGUGGCUAUUUUGUCCCAUCUCUGCAAUCUUACUAGUCGAACUGCAUUUCUCUAGAAACUGAUCCUGAGACUUCUACAAGAUGUAACAUGGCUCAAACUGUCUUUCUACAGAACAAGAAAACUGCAAAACGCGGAACCUACAGCAAACAAGGUCAAGACCUCAGCAUCCUCUCCGGUAACCACAAGUGGUUGACUUUGUGCAAAGCUGCUCUAUCCUCUCACAGCGAUGAAUAUUUUAAUCCUUAAAUGUGGCAGGAGCUCAUGUUUGGAAGUCUUUCAUUUUGAAAAUGAACAGAGCUCAGAAAACCUCAGGAGUUCAAAUAGGGUGAUCAGACUGAAUUUGUCUCUCGGAAGAUUGCUUUCAUCUGUUAUACCACUCCACUGAACUCUGUCUCUUCCUUUCCUUGGCCCCCAUCUGGACCUCUGGUACUCUAUGUUCUCCCAGUCUUUUGCUACAAACUAUUUUUGUUGCAAUGAGGCUUGUUUUGUGUUUGCAUUGUUAUAGUUCAAAGUGAUAAUGCAUAUUUAUAUCCAAAAAUAUACUGUUUCUCAAUCAUAGAUCACUAAAACUCAAUCUGAUAUUUUGAAACCUUUUAUUAUGCAACUUUAGUGUAGAAAAUAUGAAUAAAGGUA